GCCUUUCUUCAUAUAACUACAAGAAAUGAAGUUGGUCACACACCUGAAUAUAUUCCAAUGAAGGGUUCUUCCAACCGCCUGAAGAGAACACAACCCUCUUGACACCACAGGAACCAGAUUGACAGCACCAGUCUAUCCUGACGUCAGAAGUCUGGGAGUGACCUACAGCUUCAAGCCCUCACCUUACCUGGAUAUCUCAGAUGCCAUGGAAAUGCAAAAAAGAGAAGAACCUGAAUUAGAAUCGAAAGUGUGAGAAUGCUUGCUCCUGUGAUUUAGAAUCCAGCUUAAACAUGACUCCAACGAUAAGUUUUACUUUCUGGGAAGAGCCAUCUUCAUCAAACCUAUGGUCUGGCUACCAUGGCAUUCCUGACACAUGUGAAUUACCAUUGCAGA